UGCGAAUACAUUCCAUAUAAAUUCAGCCUCCACCCUUUCAUCGGUCUCCUUCUCCUCUCCGAUCCUGAAGAGAGGUAUUGCUGAGAAGCAAAGCACAAGUUGGAAGAUUCAAAAUGAGCUGCAGCCAAGUUGUGGCAUUGGAUGGUGUACUCUGGGAAUGCCAAUAUCUGAAACUGUUGCCGUGAAGCCAAUGGAAAUUAGUCAUGUGACUGAAACUUUGACAAAGAACUCAAGUUUCUGACCAUGCUGCGAUGGGAUCCUGGAGUCUCAAGUCUAGUUUGGCUGUUAAUUUAGGACCCAGAUGCAGAAACAGGAUUUGGUGUUGCAAGAAGGCAGACUGAAUGGAUACUGGGCGUAAAGGAUUGGAUGUAGAGCUGUCCCUGUCAGGUGGCCAGUGAAUUUACAACUGCCAGUGUAGUUAAGAAUGAGAAAUGAUGACGCUAUCAAGAGAUGCAGUGGGAGACAUCCAUGAUUUCAGACUACAUUUAUCCUGGGUGGUUACUGAUUUCGACUAUCAAUAAAAUGUGUGCACUUA